UAGCGAAAUUCCUUGUCGGGUAAGUUCCGACCCGCACGAAAGGCGUAAUGAUUUGAGCGCUGUCUCGACAAUGCAUCCGGUGAAAUUGAAGUACCAGUGAAGAUGCUGGUUACCCGCGCCAGGACGGAAAGACCCCAUGGAGCUUUACUCCAGUUUGAUACUGGGAUUCGGUACUGCACGUACAGGAUAGGUGGGAGACUGAGAACUAUGGACGCCAGUCUGUAGGGAGUCGCUGUUGGGAUACCACCCCUGUAGUACUGGGUUUCUAACCAUCUGCCGUGAUCCGGCAGUGGGACAAUGUCAGGCGGGGAGUUUGACUGGGGCGGUCGCCUCCGAAAGGGUAUCGGAGGCGCUCAAAGGUUCCCUCAGAAUGGUUGGAAACCAUUCGAAGAGUGCAAAGGCAGAAGGGAGCUUGACUGCGACACCGACGGGUGGAGCAGGUACGAAAGUAGGACUUAGUGAUCCGGUGGUAUAAAGUGGGAUUGCCAUCGCUCAACGGAUAAAAGCUACCCUGGGGAUAACAGGCUUAUCACUCCCAAGAGUUCACAUCGACGGAGUGGUUUGGCACCUCGAUGUCGGCUCAUCGCAUCCUGGGGCUGUAGUAGGUCCCAAGGGUUGGGCUGUUCGCCCAUUAAAGCGGUACGCGAGCUGGGUUCAGAACGUCGUGAGACAGUUCGGUCCCUAUCCGGCGUGGGCGUAGGAUAUUUGAGAGGAGCUGUCCUUAGUACGAGAGGACCGGGAUGGACGGACCACUGGUGUAUCUGUUGUCGACCAACGGCAUGGCAGAGUAGCCAAGUCUGGAAGGGAUAAACGCUGAAGGCAUCUAAGCGUGAAGCCCCCCUCAAGAUGAGAUAUCCCUCCUUCGGGAGUAAGACCCCUUGAAGACUACAAGGUAGAUAGGGCAGAGGUGGAAGUGUGGCAACACAUGGAGCUGACUGUUACUAAUAGGUCGAGGGCUUGAUUAA
rnacentral:rRNA from 1 species